rnacentral:rRNA from 1 species
CUACGGGUGGCAGCAGUAAGGAAUAUUGGACAAUGGAGGCAACUCUGAUCCAGCCAUGCCGCGUGAAGGAUGAAGGCGCUACGCGUUGUAAACUUCUUUUCUGCUAGAAAAAACUCCUGGUUUCGUACCGGGAUUGAUUGUACAGCAGGAAUAAGCAUCGGCUAACCUCGUGCCAGCAGCCGCGGUAAUACGAGGGAUGCAAGCGUUAUCCGGAUUCACUGGGUUUAAAGGGUGUGCAGGCGGAUUGGUAAGUCAGUGGUGAAAUCCCUCCGCUUAACGGGGGAACUGCCAUCGAUACUGCCAUUCUUGAGUAUAGUUGAAGCGGGUGGAAUAUGACAUGUAGCGGUGAAAUGCGUAGAUAUGUCAUAGAACACCAAUCGCGAAGGCAGCCCGCUAAACUAUUACUGACGCUGAAACACGAAAGUGCGGGGAUCAAACAGGAUUAGAUACCCGAGUAGUC